ensembl:misc_RNA Metazoa_SRP Metazoan signal recognition particle RNA
GCCGGGCGCGGUGGCGCGCGCCUGUAAUCCCAGCUACUCGGGAGGCUGAGGCUGGAGGAUCGCUUGAGCUCAGGAGUUCUGGGCUGCAGUGCGCUAUGCCGAUCGGGUGUCCGCACUAAGUUCGGCAUCAAUAUGGUGACCUCCCGGGAGCGGGGGACCACCAGGUUGCCUAAGGAGGGGUGAACCGGCCCAGGUCGGAAACGGAGCAGGUCAAAACUCCCGUGCUGAUCAGUAGUGGGAUCGCGCCUGUGAAUAGCCACUGUACUCCAGCCUGGGCAACAUAGCGAGACCCUGUCUCU